CGGGUUGUAAAGCACUUUGAUCUGGGAAGAAAAAGCUUUGGCUAAUAUCCAAAGCCUUGACGGUACCAGAGGAACAAGCACCGGCUAACUCUGUGCCAGCAGCCGCGGUAAUACAGAGGGUGCUAGCGUUAAUCGGAUUUACUGGGCGUAAAGCGUGUGUAGGCGGUUCGUUAAGUCGGAUGUGAAAGCCCUGGGCUCAACCUGGGAAUUGCACUCGAUACUGGCGGGCUAGAGUACGGUAGAGGGCGGCGGAAUUCCGGGUGUAGCGGUGAAAUGCGUAGAUAUCCGGAGGAACACCGAUGGCGAAGGCAACCGCCUGGGCCUGUACUGACGCUGAGACACGAAAGCGUGGGGAGCAAACAGGAUUAGAUACCCUGGUAGUCCACGCCGUAAACGAUGAGAACUUGACGUCGGUUUGCUCUGCGAAUCGGUGUCGAAGCUAACGCGCUAAGUUCUCCGCCUGGGGAGUACGGCCGCAAGGUUGAAACACAAAA
rnacentral:rRNA from 1 species